rnacentral:tRNA from 1 species
GUCCCCGUAGCUCAAUCGGAUAGAGCGUCUGCCUCCGGAGCAGAAGGUUGCAAGUUCGAAUCUUGUCGGGGACGCCA